AACGAACGCUGGCGGCAUGCCUAACACAUGCAAGUCGAACGAGACCUUCGGGUCUAGUGGCGCACGGGUGCGUAACGCGUGGGAACCUGCCCUUAGGUUCGGAAUAACUCCCCGAAAGGGGUGCUAAUACCGGAUAAUGUCUUCGGACCAAAGAUUUAUCGCCUUUGGAUGGGCCCGCGUUGGAUUAGCUAGUUGGUAGGGUAAAAGCCUACCAAGGCGACGAUCCAUAGCUGGUCUGAGAGGAUGAUCAGCCACACUGAGACUGAGACACGGCCCAGACUCCUACGGGAAGCAGCAGUGGGGAAUAUUGGACAAUGGGCGAAAGCCUGAUCCAGCAAUGCCGCGUGAGUAAUGAAGGCCUUAGGGUUGUAAAGCUCUUUUACCCGGGAUGAUAAUGACAGUACCGGGAGAAUAAGCUCCGGCUAACUCCGUG
rnacentral:rRNA from 1 species